AUUGAACGCUGGCGGCAUGCUUUACACAUGCAAGUCGAACGGCAGCGCGGGCUUCGGCCUGGCGGCGAGUGGCGAACGGGUGAGUAAUGCAUCGGAACGUGCCCAGUAGUGGGGGAUAGCCCGGCGAAAGCCGGAUUAAUACCGCAUACGACCUGAGGGUGAAAGCGGGGGACCGAAAGGCCUCGCGCUAUUGGAGCGGCCGAUGUCGGAUUAGCUAGUUGGUGGGGUAAAGGCUUACCAAGGCGACGAUCCGUAGCUGGUCUGAGAGGACGACCAGCCACCCGGGACUUAGGCACCGCCCCGGCUCCCUCGGGGGGCCACCGUGGGGAAUUUUGGACCAUGGGGGGAAACCCUGUCCCGCCCUGCCGGCGGGGGGAAGGAGGGCUUUCGGUUUUUAACCGCUUUUGUUCGGGAAGAAAUCCUCUGGGCUAAUACCCCGGGGGGAUGACGGUACCGGAAGAAUAAGCACCGGCUAACUACGUG
rnacentral:rRNA from 1 species